UAAGAUUGGCAACUGUUGCCAGACCAGAGACGAAUCUGUUCAGGACUUUUACCACCGAUUGUACCUGAUUUUCAACAAACACAGCGGGUUGGAGGAACCAGAUGAAAGAGGAGAUCAAGCUGGCACAUGGGAGUGUCACAUGCGGAGCUGGUCUUUGAAUGGACUGAGACCUGAAAUUGCACAAGCAGUAAAGACCAGCUACAUAGAGUGGAAAAGUGGAUGGCUGUCUGCUGUUUUGGCACAUGCUUUGCAUGCAGAGGAGAUGCAGACGGCGAAGAAAGAAAGUUAAGGCCAAAACGGACAAGGAGUGUCAGCUGGCGGUAGUGCAAGCCGUGUCGAAGCCGGGGGACUAUUCUGCUCAGCGAAACCAGCAGUGGAAGAGAGGAGGAAGAUAUCCGAACGAAACUAAAAGAAACUGUGAAAGAUGGGGUUGUUGGAUCUGCGAGACUAAUGAACAUAAGACAUUCAGGUGUACAAGAUGCAGGCUGUGCAAAAAGGUCGGUCAUUGGGCCGAGGAUUGCCCGGAGAACCGGCGAAAUCAACAGACAGACUGAAGCGAGGGAGACGGAGAGCAGAGAGGAGGGGUCCAGGGCGAGCAACCAACAGUCACAAGUCAGGGAAGUGAACAUUUUCUAACCACAAACACACACACAUACACUGAUGUACUUUCUGCUCUCUGCAAUGAAGAAAACGCUUGCUUUCCUUUGAAUAUGUCUGAUUCUGUUGAUAAGCAUCCUGACAAAUGUGCUAUUAUGUUUAAGAAUGAAGCUUUCAUGAUAAUGCCUAAAUAUCCUAUGCUAGUACAGGGGAUAUUGAUUGAGUUUUUAGCUGAUAUAUAAUAUAUAUAUCUAUACAGCCAUGUGAUUUGCAAUGCCAACCACAAUUAACAGGUGAAAUGAAUGAGUCAAUUUCUGCAUCAGGGCACGUAAUUUGUGAAAGGUUCACAGUGCCUUCUGAAUUAUGAAACAGGGGGUUUACAUGCUUUUCUCUAUAGCCCUGCAUGUCCAGUGCCUUUGAUGGGGAGAGAUUUAUUGUGCAAACUAAAUUUGACACUGACUACAGACUCUGGGGGUGUCCGAGGGGCAGAGAAAGAGCAGGUUUGCCGUCUGCAAGCAGAACCAAAAUGGGCAUAUGAAUGGCACAUCAUAAAUUCUGAUUGUGCUGGAAUGAUGUGUGAACUGACUAAAGAUCGAACAAAACCAUUUGAUAGAGAAAUCAUGUUGCCUGACAAAUUGCAUUGCACGUCACAUGUUGUAGUACAACCAGAUGAGUAUGAAAAAGACUGGUUUGAGGGAGGAAAAGGAGAAACUUUACGUUUUGAGAAAAUGUUUUAGACAGUAAAUGUGUGUGCAGUCUCAGUUUGCCUGACAGAAAAACAGUUUCAGUUUUACCUAAUGGCAGAAGAUUCUGUGCCUCACUUAUCACUUUCCAAGGACAGGAGCCAGACAGGGCCCAGAUUUGACUUGUUUGUGAAAAGGUGUUUGUGUUACAGACAGAGACAGAUAGGGGAGGGGGUGAAACACAGUGAGAGCCUGGGAGUGUUUAUGACUGAGUGCAAGCAUGACAUUGAAACAGAGAGAGUUGUGGUACCCAUUGACAAAAGAAAGAGGGAGAAUCAUUGCAUGACGGUUAUUUUUGCCUUCAGAUAUACAUCCAGCAUUAACAAAAGUGCCAUCAGAGUUAUGGGCAAAACACAAAUAUGAUGUGGGCUUGAUUAAAGGAUGUGAACCAGUUGUGGUCACCCCAAAAUCUGAUUACAGACCAUGUCAACGUCAAUACCCUCUAAAACAAGAGGCAAUUCUUGGUAUAAAAACAGUGUUUGAGUCACUAUUAAAGGAGGGGAUAAUGGUGCCAUGCAAUUAAUCUCCAGUUCGCACUCCAAUUUUUCCUGUAAAAAAGAUAAGAGACAAGGGUCAGCCCACCUAGUGUCGAUUUGUACAGGAUUUACAGGCUGUGAGCGCUGCUGACAGGCAAAGAGCUCCAUCAGUACCAAAUCCAUACACAAUUUCGUCACAAAUACCACAAGAUGCAACAUUCUUCUCAGGGGUGAAAGCUCCUCAGGAGAAGGUUGCUGAAACACCGUUGCACGACCUGAAACCAGGGGAUUCGUGAUGAUACGAGCAGAGAGAGCAACGUGGAUCCAGGCUAACCACUGCAGAAAGGUCCCACCUGCAUCUGAGGAAGAGGAGCGGAGGGAGUAAGGAUCUGGAGACACACAUGUCAACAAAGGCCAGGAAUCCAGCCUAAACAUCAAGCGUCCUUAUCAGCGGGAAGAGCAAGGUUAAGACUGAAAAACAGCAUUGAAGUAGUCUGCGCGCAAGUGAAAAGAUAACUAUGAGCAUCAUAGUUGGGUACAUCAUGUUGUUUUCAUAUUCCAGACAGACUACAGUGACAACGUUACCAAUAUCAUCACUCAGAUGAGAAAGGCCGUAAAAGAGCCUGACCAUACACAUAAUGCUGCUAAAUGAUUUUUGCUGCUAUUAUGUCUACCAUGUUUUUCUUUUUUUUAGUUGAUAUCCAGCUCAGUAGAGACUGGUGAAGUUUAGUGUUUCACAUCAAAUGGUUCAAUUGACUGUGUACAAUGAAGACGUUAUCAUGGAUUUGAGUAGGGAGAAAACUACUGAUGAAGGGACAAACAGUAGUGGAAGCUACAGUGAAAUGUGUUAAAUGUAUGAGAUUUAUGAUAUUUUUUUUCUUUGAAGUAAGAAAUGUUCAGGCCUAUCUGAAUGUAUGCUGUUUGCUUGCUUGAAAAAGGGUCUGUCCCCAUAUAAAAAGCCUUAGUUUAUUUUCUAAAUUCUUUUACAAACUUAAGAGGGUGAUCAUUUAUGCGAAGAUCAGGGAUGAAGAGUAUAAAUGUGAUGAAAUGCCUUAAGUUUGCUUUAUUUUGAAUCAUGUAUGUAUUUCUGAGUGUGAAAUUUUUGAUUUUGGAUUGUGUUUGUAUCUGCAACGUGACUGAGGGUCUGACUCGUGUCAGGAAUGCAGUAGCAGUGACUUACUCGUUUAGCCCGGUGAGUGUGUAGUGGAAAUAUAACCAGUAGAAAUGAAUAUUUAUGUUUUAUUGAUCAAUGAAUGAUAAAAAGGGGGAAAUUGUGGUGGAAAAAUUCAUUUAACAUUGCUUCUGUAUACCUAUAUAAGCAUGUGUUUUCUUUUCUUUACUGUGUGGGUUCAGAAGGGUGACACCUGGGGGGAAAACAGAUGUCUGAGGAUGACCUGAGGGGGUCACCUAAGUCCUAAAUGUGUGAGAAACAGCCCAUAGAGAGUGUCCCUUGUUAUGUGUGGAAAUUUACAGCUUCUGAAACUGUGUAACCUUGGAAGAGCAGAGGUAUAUAAGGUGGAGGACUGCCCUCUUCCUGGCUCGGUUUCACUCUGCAGGAACUCAGUGUUGCUGUCUGACCUUCUUUGCAAAGAAUAAAAGCUUUCUUUUUUAAUUA